GCUGUGCGGGGUUUCCAUAACCGAACGCACGGACAACGACAGCCAUUCCGGGAUACGCUUAGAAGAGAAAGCGUUUGGCGUUCUUUGGAAAAGAAAAUUUCUUUUUACCGCGUUAUAAUUUGUUUACAACGUCUAUAGUCAACAUUCUUCUUAUGAGAUCUGCUGGGUUUACAUAGUAAGUUCGGAUCUUAGGCAACUCAGUGUGUGUAGGUGUCAAGAUCAGGCAUCAACAAUCAUCAGUGGACUUUUGUACAAUGACAUGGUGCAGUUGACUCCUUUUCUGCUUCUCCAUUUUAUUGUCCUUUGCUGAUGGACUGUUUGCUGCUUGGUCGUCUUUAUUCUCGUCAACUUCUUAUCUUUCAUCGUACGUUUUAACUGAGGGUGAAGAAGGAAGAAAUUUCUCGAGUGUCUAAAGCCGAAGAAGUGUUGAGAUUGGUGCUGAACGACGGGGAAAACGAAUGGAUUGAACGUACAUAUGGACAACUGCAAUCUAUCAGUUACCUUCUGUCUACACAGUGUACACCCUGUUACGUACUUCCGCCAUCGCACUCAUCUAUGCGGUCUCUGUCGGUGCAUAUCGGAUUGAUCGUGCAACACCAAGCGUUACCGCUAUCGCUAUAUCUGGGAGUGGAUAUGAUAACACGUUUCCAUCUAAUCAUUUAAUACUUCCUAGCCACGUACUUCUAUCGACCAAGAACAAAGCCCCGAACGGACCCUUUGAUAGGAUCAAGUCCACGUGUUCGCGUCACUGUAAGCGGAAAGAUGAUUAAAUUAUAGCUAGACCAAAAGUCAAUUGGUUGCCCAAGCUCGCUAAGAAACUCUUUAAAACUCCCCACCAAAUUGUCGUUCGUCAACUUCUCAAAGGAUGUCGCAUAGAAUUUGAACAAUGUAGUGUAUACUGCUAACGAUUGCCGGAGGUAGAGGAGCGGAAACGAAAUGUUUUCCAGUCGAAAAUGGAAGUGGCAGCCCUAUCAGUUGCUCAGUGCAAGCGGAGGUUUCUGAAACCGCUUUUCAGUCGUUCGAAACUUCUUUUGCUUUGCUGGUCCACGGAACGAUACGCACGUUUCGUCACGGGAAUCAUCGAAUCUGUUGUAGUCGACAACUGUGUCUCGCUGAAAACACCGGUUCGAAGACAAAUUCAGUAGAAGAUUGACGACUUGACUGCGGAUGUUUUCCAUUUGAAUUGACAAUUUUAAAAUUAUUUUAGAAAAACACAAGUCUAACAACUAAUGUCGUUACCGUGAAAAUACCAUGAAAAACGUCUCGAAUUCCAUUUAAAUGUAUGACUCCAUUGCGUAAAAAUAAUUGAAUGCAUACAAUGCGCAAUUAGCUAAUGAUCAUUUCAUGACUCCUGUGUAUUCUUUGUCUCAUCUUUGAAAACGACAAGUUCCGGGCUGAUAAUCAAUAUGAAUCAAUAAUGUCUAUUAGACAUUGAAAUAUUAACACGUUCACGAUCCGCAAUCUAUAACUACAGUAGUGCCUCGUUAACUGUCAUGAUAACCACCUUAUUGAUCACGUGGUUGCUUCCUACUGGCCAGGGUCAAUUCUUACGCAGGCGAUCGAUUUGCAGUGGUGCUCGCUUACUGGUCGCAUUUUGUCCUCAUUAUUAUGUAGCAACAUAAAUCUGUUAAACAUAAAACCUUAACAAUUCUCACUAGCCUUCACUCAAUGGCCAGAGCUGAAUAAAAGAAAUGAAACUAUCAAUAAGAAGGUUACAAACCAGCGACAAAUAAGCGGGCACUGCUGUAGUCCUAAAUUUUAAAUCGAACGUAAAGAAUUCUCUCUAAAUCAACGAACAAAUCGAGAACGGGGACCCAUCUCCACGCUGGUUCAACGAACAUUUUCCAUGCUUCGCACUCGAGCAUCCACCUGCCCCGGUAAAUUGCUGCUGACCGGCCAGAAACAGGCGACAGUUAGCGAGGCGCUCGUGUUGAUCCAUGCCGUUCGUAACACACACCGUUCACGCGGAAACUGCACGAAUUAUUCGCGUGACUGACACCACGAGCCGUGAUCAGCGCAAUUCCGUCUUUGUUUUCUGAAGCAACGCAACGUUAGCCUCGGAAACGCUUUCAGGUCAACCGUACUGCCGACCAUUGACUCGAAUUCGUGGGUCAGCGGAAUGUGAACGUGUUAAGAAAGGUGAGUGCAAAAGAAGUUUGGAACCCCAAGACUGUUUUGCGUAUAGGAAAACAAAGGGAGAGAGUGAGCGAGCGAACGGGAGAAAGAAUCUGUGAGCGUGUGCGAAAGAAAGAUGACUAUCGUGCAAUGCGUCUCGGUCAUCCAGAAUGUUUGACCAGCCGCGGGUUCGGAUCGGCCGCAUAAAAGCCUGCCGAUCAGAACCAAUCGCCGCGUCCUCUUGUUCUUGCCUCUUUUGCGCUUGAGCUGAAUGCGGCCGGCUAUCUUUGGAAUAAUUUUUGGAAACAACGCGUCGACCACCACCUUUCAUCCCCACUCCACCUCCCCUUUGCUUCGGUUAAUCCGAAAAAGAUGCGGAAAAAUCGUGUAUCUGAAGCUGGACCUUGCGCCAUAAGGUCAAGGCGUUUGGAACCAAUGAUGCCCCGAUAUAUAUGCGUGUGUGUAUACACAUGGAAUUCGAACGCGCGGACGCUGAAAAAGAGCUCCACCGUAGCCGGCAGUAAACCCUUUCGAAAGAAGAGAAACUUUAAGGAAUUUGGAUAGUUCGCGAACGAGCUGGUUGCUUGGAUGUCGCUAGUUCGAGCAUGUAUGAUGACUCUGCGAUCCUAGUAGUCCCUUGGCUUCACGAUCACCGCCGUGCCUCCUCAAAAGGGGACACGAGCGGUUGAUCUCGAUCGUAAACGCGCUUCGAGUUGGUCAGCUCUAAUUUAGGCGCUAGUGCUGUUGGUGGUCACCUCUCGCCACCCUUUUUUUGCUCUCCGCUGCUACCCCAAACCCUCGACUAAACGUACUUGCUCUCGGCCUCGCUUCGAUUUCACCAGUGCUGAGGAAGAUAUUUCAUGUUCCGUGGCUUUCGGGAGGAAUUUGGAUACUGUUUAUUUAAUUUGAUUUUUCUUUUAUCAUUUUACUGGAAGCUUAAACGGUCUUUUGGAAAAUUAGGAAAUAUAGCUACGAGUCCAAAGAUGGUUGCUGAGAGCGCUUGUCGUUAACAAAGUGAUGCGAAUUGUAAAUAUUUAUUUUGGAAGAACAUAAUCAGAGGUAUUUGUUAUUUCGACGGAGAGAUGUGCAAAUAAUUAGACCGUGUUUCCGAGAUUGGACAAUCCUUCCACGGUUUAAGAGAUGGAAAACAAGUCAACGAUCUUUAGGCUUAAUUGAUUAAUUGAACGUGUACGCUCUAUUAAAAACAUUUAUGAUUUAUCGCGAGGAUUGUAAAUCCUUGUAUUUGGAAAUAUUCUAUUUAAAUAGGAGGCUGAAUAAACAGGAGAACAAUGUAUUAGGCGAAAGUUCAGCUAAAUAGGAUAUUUUCCUUUUUAUUGCAUUUAGGUUGAUAUUAAUGAACAACUAUGCAUAUAGUAAAUAGUUCUUAUUUUUUAUUUUUUCGCGCAUUAAAUAUACGUUCUACACAUUUUAUAAAAAUCAAUCAUUUGAAAAAUAUGCCUACAAUAUUACAUUGGUUUUUGUAUAUAAAAGAAUCAUUCGUUCUUACGGCUGAUAAUUGAACCUAGUGAUAUUGGAUUAAAUGAAUGGUAUUCGAAUGAAUAUUAAUUUAUUCGCUAGGUGAUAAACAGUCGCGUUAGGAAGAAUUUCUAUUUUGUUAUACAAUUCUGAUAAUACGUGCGCGCCCCAACCCUUUCGGAGUGUCGAUCCACCCGGCUACAUCCUGGACGCACCGCUUGGAACCUGAGGAAAACGGACUUACGUAUCGUCCCGGCAAUAUCGCCGUCGUGGUUUUGUCAGUGGGACCGGAAAUUACGUUUCGAUCGAGUGGCGUUCGCAAUAAUCCGCCUUCUCGAGUCUCGAAAUGUUUUUGUCGGUGGACUGUUGAUUAUGACUAUGUGAAAUCGCAUCGUUACUUAUUGAUCUAUAAAAUAGGAUGUGGAAUUUUUAAAUUUUCAGUUUUCGAUUCAUUAGGAUCAAAAGUUACUAUUAUACUAUUAUUAACCGUUUAAGUUCCACGUGUCUUUGCUGUUUUCCCGUCCAAAGGCGCCAAGGAGCGCUUUUUCGUUUGUCUUAUCCCCUCUCCAAAAGUGCCAAGCGGCGCGAUAGCGCUUGUCUUAUUCUCUGAUUAAUGAUAUUUGCAUCCAAAUGUUCGACUGAAAUUAAAAUUCGUUCUUUUACCAGCUGCUUCAUUCUUUUACUUUUACCUAAAAUGGAAUGGUAACCGUAAAGUCGCGCAUUGACGGAAACCGAGCGUGUCGCGGUUAUCGGCUUCGCAGCCUAGAGCGCUGGCAUUGUUCGAGCGACACAGAAGAAGCGCAAAAUCGCUCCUUGGCACUCAAACGGUUAAUAUUAUUAUGAAUAUUAAUAUACUAUUAUUUGUAUCAUAAUAUUAGGAUCAAAAAAGUUUCAUCUCAAUUUGCGUGAAAGUGCAUUGGGAACUUUAAACAUCCUCGCAUACGAUGGAAUAUAUUUAAUUGGAACCGUUUAGUUCACGAGUAUCGGGAAGAUUCAUUACUUUCGUAGGUAACGUCCACUUCAUAAUACUCGAAUAUCAUAAUUCACUCGGAACGCUUUAUCCUAUCGUUUAUCAGUGUUCAGCGUGUCGAUAAUACAUAUUUACUUUCGUUCUAAAGGGGUUACACUAUGUUCGCGACAUCAAAUUCUUUUUUUUUUACUUUGAUGAAGCGUCUUUACUCUUAAAAUUGUUUAUUUUUGCAAUAAUGGCUACUAAUAUCGUAUCUAAAACUUCUUAGGAUAUUAAAUUGGCUCAAAGUUUAUUAUAGAAAACGAAGCGUGUAAUGUUUCUGCCUUUAUAAAUUUAAAGGUAUUACAUGAAUGAGUCCAAAUAAAAAUUCAUGCGAAGUGAACAAAGUGCAUCGUGCACAGUAUAAAAAAAUGAAUACAUAAAAUUUUAAACCUGUUUCUUAUAAUACUUUUUUAUUCCAAUAUGAACCAUCACUGAAAAACCGUUUAAUUUUAAUGAAGUUCUUAUGGUAUGAUCUAUGGUUCAUCUUUUGUUUUUAAUUGGCUCUAAAGAUACUAAAAAACAACCGGUAACCAAACGCAACAAUUAUUUUCAAUUUUAUCAACCUUAAUAAAAUCCUCAUAUUUUCAUGAUUACCUAUAUAUCACGUGAUACUUUCAAAACUAACUCCCCAGAUUUGCGAAUACCGCGUGUCAAGCAAAUCAGGCGCAAUAAACAUAAAUUUUCGCCUCAGAAAAAAGAAGAAUCACUUCUGUAAACCACGCAGGAAGCCCUAUUACAUAAAGAAACUCGCGUAAAUACCGCACGUCUCGAUCGAUCCAAGGUCCCGCAACCUUUUAACACAUUCGCAGUCGAUGACGUAAUAAUACGCGUCUGAAUAAAUACCAAAUAGACAUUGUUGACGCACCACUAUACUUUUUCCUGUUUCUCCUCUAAUGGAUAUCUCAAACAUUGACAGUUUUAACCUUACCCUCGGUUAGACCGCUGCCGAAAUGAAUUUCUUUCGGAUUCAAGUCUCAAGCAGCCUGACCGACUUCCAUUUUCAUUUAAUUAACGCGAACGUCGCGAAGUUCAGCCGUGAAGUAUUGAAUUUUAUAAAAUUAUACUCAUUAACGGCCACGAAUUCGUUGAUCAAUGAUGAACCAUCGCACAGCGGAAGUCGCAUGAUUCGAGCGUGCGUUUCGUAAGAACGGAGGCCGUCGUUAUCGUCGGCCAGAAUCCUGCUCGCGAUUGGAUUGAUUUACAUUCGAAGAGGCGGGCUAACAAUGGCGGUUUU